rnacentral:rRNA from 1 species
AUUGAACGCUGGCGGCAUGCCUUACACAUGCAAGUCGAACGGCAGCACGGGGCAGCCUGGUGGCGAGUGGCGAACGGGUGAGUAAUGCAUCGGAACGUACCUUUCAGUGGGGAAUAACGUAGCGACAGUUACGCUAAUACCGCAUAUUCUGUGAGCAGGAAAGCAGGGGAUCGCAAGACCUUGCGCUGAUUGAGCUGCCGAUGUCAGAUUAGCUAGUUGGUGAGGUAAAGGCUCACCAAGGCGACGAUCUGUAGCGGGUCUGAGAGGAUGAUCCGCCACACUGGAACUGAGACACGGUCCAGACUCCUACGGGAGGCAGCAGUGGGGAAUUUUGGACAAUGGGGGCAACCCUGAUCCAGCCAUACCGCGUGAGUGAAGAAGGCCUUCGGGUUGUAAAGCUCUUUCGGCCGGGAAGAAAUCGCACGGGCUAAUACCCUGUGUGGAUGACGGUACCGGAAUAAGAAGCACCGGCUAACUACGUGCCAGCCGCCGCCGUAAGAC